UACGUAGGGUGCAAGCGUUGCCCGGAUUUAUUGGGCGUAAAGGGCGCGUAGGCGGGCUACCAAGUCUGUGGUGAAAUCCUCCAGCUUAACUGGAGAACGGCCGUGGAUACUGGUGGUCUCGAGGGAGAUAGGGGCAAGCGGAACUGUGCGUGGAGCGGUGAAAUGCGUUGAUAUGCACAGGAACUCCGGUGGCGAAGGCGGCUUGCUGGAUCUCUUCUGACGCUGAGGCGCGAAAGCUAGGGGAGCGAACGGG
rnacentral:rRNA from 1 species